rnacentral:ncRNA from 1 species
CAUAAAGGAUAUAAAGUUGCUUUUUGAGGUGACUCAAAUUGAAAAAAAGGGUGAAUUGCAAGAAACUCUUAAUCAUUUAACUUAACCCCUAGAUUAAGACAAUUUGCAGCUAAGUCUAGAUUAGUAUUUAUAUAAAUCUAGAAAAGUUCAACGACUAGUUGGUGAGUAAUACUAACAAUAAUCCAACCUAGAGCGCCCUUUCACUCUAAACGUAGUGAAUGACAUAGUCUAAUCUUACUAGAAAUAGUAAG